GGGAUGGUGGGGCAGAAGAGGUGGCUGUUGGAGGCAUAACUAAUAUUUAGGACAUCUAGAAAAAGUCACAUUGGUAAAACAGUCUACAUAUAAUCUAAUUCUCCUUACUUAUUCAGUCUACUACAUCUACAUAUGUCAAAUAUUAGGAUAUAAGUAUCUUUUCUAGUCUCUUGCCAUAUCUACAUAUGUAUACAUUGUCAAUAAAGUAGUAAUUGCCUGUUAGUUUUAAAAGUUUUCUCAAUGUUGGCAGAUAGCCGGGGUGUAGGUGCACAGAACAGAGCCUGAGCAAACAGCUCUGUCCCUAGGCCUCCAAUGGCUUUCUGUGUGCUUCUAUUGGAGUGGUGUCUUUUCUCUGAACUUUAGCUGUGUUGUAUACACCAUGAGCAAUCAGAGUAAAAAGUGAUGUUGGAUCUUUAUUAAUGCAGAGCUGGUUCCCUGGAUGUUCACUCCCCUUGAAAAGGAAAUCAAAAGUAUCAGAAGACCAGUAAGUGGGACUCAGGUGCCUAUUCCAAAAGUGUGGGAUGCUCAAGUCUGCUUGUCCUCAGCACACCUGUGAUGCCUACCCUUCCCUUCUGAGUUCUACUUUGAAGAACUUGAAUAAGGUCUAGAAUUUUUGGUCAAGUGGAUUUUAAUGAAUGAUGCUUUGAUACUGCGGAUGUCAUACUGAACCUCUAGCUGAGAAUGAUGGAAAACUAUUACUUUGAUGCUGACUGGAAGGUCCUGAGCCAUGUUCCAGAUCCAUAGGAUUCAAAGAAAACAGA
rnacentral:lncRNA from 1 species